GAUGCCUGCUUGGUCAUUUAGAGUUUAUAAAACACACCCACAUCCAUUACCUCUGUGACCCUUUCAUUCCACAGACAUCCAGGGAGCCCAUCCUCUGCCUGGCGCUGGGUUGGCCCAGCGCCAGGGGGACAAAUGGGACAUGAGACAUCUCUGGUUUCCAGGAGAUUCCCUGGAGGACAGAGGGGGCAGCCGUGUGCUUAGAGCUUGGACUGGGCAGCUGGAUGUGGUCAGGAGGAGGGAGCGGCUUGGGCAAAGAAGAGAGAGAAAGAGAAAGAUCUGAAGCGUGGGUUUUGAGGGGGUUGGCCAGGUAGAAAUGGGACAGGACCAGAUUCUGUCAGGACCUAGUAAGAGGUUCUUUAUUCUGAGGGCACCAGGAGUCAUUGAAGAUCUCACAUCACAAGGAGGAGGCCUAGCGGGACCCGGCUCCCACCACAUUCUCCAGAGACCUGGCCUUGUUUAGAAAGUGUCUUCUUUGGAGCCUGAGUCACCAGAUUCCUGGGUGGUCUGGGGGAAACCACAGUUACUGUAAGCACCAUGACUGGAAAGGCAAGAGGACAGCGAGUCUGUCGUGGAUUGUGACAUCAGCAACUCAGCCAUAAUGUCUAAGACUGGGUUUCCUCAUUUGUAAACUGAGAGUCUAGAACUGGAGUCACACCCCAUGAAGAAAGGCCACAAGAACUCAAGGCAUCUAAGAACCUCAUGGAGUCCUCAGCUUCGGGACAGGACAGGCCUAGGAGGCAAAAGAGCUGUGAGGUUGAUGUCCUCGGAUCCCCAGAUUCAUUCAGCUCUCAGGCUUGCAGGCCCCCAAGGGACAGACCUACUCCCACAAGGCCAGCCUCAACCAGCAAGUGGGAGGAGUCCCCAGCUGGCAUCGGAGAUAGAAGGCCUGUUCCUUUUCCCAGGAAGCUUGGCAAAUGAUGGCACUAAUGGAAGCAACAGUUUCUACAUCUGAGAAAGGGGAGUGAGGAAGCUCCCUGCAGGAGCUCCCAUGAGGUCAAAUGCGUAUCCUCCUGGGAAGGACCUCUACCAAGAGCCUAGUUUUCAUCACCUCCACUCAGAAACCAGCCCACCCACGCCUCCUUUCCUAGCUGUGCCCUCUGUCACUAACUGCCACUCUGCACUGAUUGGACCAGGUACUGCUCACUUCUCCCAAUUAGCACCUUCUUCUGAGGUCGGUAUGAUUUCACCCCCUUCUUACACAUGGUUACUGAAGCACCUUGAGAAGUCUCAGGUCAUUUUAAGUGGCAGAGUCUGGAUUUGAACUUAGGCAGCCUGGCUCCAGAAUGAGUGUUGAAGACUCCCCUCUCCUGCCUCCUGCUAUACUGUGCAGGGGGAUGCCUCCAGGUUUCUGCCAUGACCUCCUUCUUGCAUGACCUCCUUCCUUUGCUCCUGCCCCUUCUACUACCUGUAAGAGCUAGACUUGAAGCAGAAUCCUCCUCAGAGGCCUCCCAAUUCCUCUCCUCAAAACCCAUGAAACCCCUAUGCCCCAUCUUGCCUGUUUCAACUCAAUACCCUUAUCCCAUCUUGCCUGUGCACCCUGCUAACUGCCUGAGCCCAAGGUGCCUCCCACAUUGGCAUCCCACAAAUAAUACAUCAGAAUAUAGCCCCCCGAGAAUCUUCAGGGUAGGGUCUCAGUGCAGGGUACCUUGUGUGUGUCCAGAAGUCAGUGGUGGCCAGCUCAGGGACAAAUGUGCCUUGCUAUGGUGACAGGAUCAGCAGGCGAGUAAUGAAUUUAUUAGCAGUUGGUAAGUAACUUUGGGAAAUAAAGUGAAAUGCACAAUUUGCAGAGGACACAGGUCAUGAGCCCACCUCCUAGCAUUCAUUCUUGUGCAGUCCCUCCCAUCAGAGCUAGAUCAACAAUAUGGCAGAGGUAAAGGAGUUACUUCUGAGAUAAAAGUAUGAAGAUGGCAGCUUCACUUUUGGAUCCCUUGCUUGGGGGGAAGCCACGUCACAAGUAGCCCAAUGGAAAAGGCUACAUGGCCAGGAGCCGAGGCCUCCAGCCACCAGCCAUGUGAGGGAGCUUGGAAGUGGCUCCUCCAGCCCCGGAGAAGCUCAGAUGACGGCAGCCCUGGCCGACAGCUUGACUGCAACCUCACGAGACCCUGAACCAGAACCGCCCCGCUAGGCUGCUCCUGCAUUCCUGAACCAGAAACUGCAUGAGAUAAUAAAUGUUGUUUCAA